rnacentral:rRNA from 1 species
GAUGAACGCUGGCGGCGUGCCUAAUACAUGCAAGUCGAGCGGAGCGGGGACGGGUGAGUAACACGUGGAUAACCUCCUAUAAGACUGGGUUAACUUCGGGAAACCUGAGCUAACCCGGAUACUUCUCGAUUGAUCCGCGCUGCAUUAGCUAGUUGGUAAGUGAACGGCUUACCAAGGCAACGAUGCAUAGCCGACCGGAGAGGGUGAUCAGCAACACUGGAACUGAGACACGGUCCAGACUCCUACGGGAGGCAGCAGUAGGGAAUAUUCCGCAAUGGGCGAAAUCCUGACGGAGCAACGCCGCGUGAGUGAUGAAGGUCUUCGGAUCGUAAAACUCUGUUAUUAGGGAAGCGGUACCUAAUCAGAAAGCCACGGCUAACUACGUGCCAGCAGCCGCGGUAAUAC